rnacentral:tRNA from 1 species
GCGCCCAUAGCUCAGGUGGAUAGAGCAGCGGUUUCCUAAACCGCAGGCCACAGGUUCGAGUCCUGUUGGGCGCACCA